UCCCAGCUCCAAUGGACCCGGACGCUUCGCGGUAGACCGAGGGCCGCGCGGCAGCUGUGUGAGAAAGAAGUCAAGCGCGCUUGCGUGGAACGAUGUGUCAUUCUCAUUCAGUCUCUCACACCUGCUGAGAGAACAGCUGCUAGUGAGGAGGAACGGGGGUGGAUCCAAUCCUUGACAAUGAAGCCAUUCGAUAGCCGGGGUUGGAAUUUGCAUAGUUAGGCUGCCCUUUGUCCCGUUUGAGAUUAACCAUUCAGGAGAGCGGGCGCAAGAGGGGAAAGAGCCGCAGAUAUGUUACUGUCCUGAGCAGAUCAUUUCCCUAUUCUUUCGAUGUCUAGAUCGGUUGACACGUGCCCAAUCCAAGGAAACCAUUUCCAAGCAUUUACUCAGGUCCCUUAGACUUAUGUGACUAAUGUGAUCCAUGGAACACAGGACUUCUGGUGGCAAUGCUUCUUCCAGCUGCAGUUUGGGUUUUGAUCCAACCCAAUGAGAAUGUAAGAAAUGGAUUACCAAGCUACACAGCAAGUUUCCUAGAUCAUCCACAGAAGUCAUGUCAUACUUUCACUCUUUGAUGCUGCAGUGGUUAGCUAGUCUGUGCUUUGAGUUCUUUGCUUCCCUUAAAAGUCAAUUUUGACUGAAAUUAAUGAAUCAAAAGUG